CCUACGGGAGGCUGCAGUGGGGAAUAUUGGACAAUGGGGGCAACCCUGAUCCAGCCAUGCCGCGUGUGUGAAGAAGGCCCUCGGGUUGUAAAGCACUUUCAGUGAGGAAGAACGCCUGGUGGUUAAUACCCAUCAGGAAAGACAUCACUCACAGAAAAAGCACCGGCUAACUCCGUGCCAGCAGCCGCGGUAAUACGGAGGGUGCGAGCGUUAAUCGGAAUUACUGGGCGUAAAGCGCGCGUAGGUGGCUUGAUAAGCCGGUUGUGAAAGCCCCGGGCUCAACCUGGGAACGGCAUCCGGAACUGUCAAGCUAGAGUGCAGGAGAGGAAGGUAGAAUUCCCGGUGUAGCGGUGAAAUGCGUAGAGAUCGGGAGGAAUACCAGUGGCGAAGGCGGCCUUCUGGACUGACACUGACACUGAGGUGCGAAAGCGUGGGUAGCAAACAGGAUUAGAUACCCGAGUAGUC
rnacentral:rRNA from 1 species